rnacentral:rRNA from 1 species
AUUGAACGCUGGCGGCAGGCUUAACACAUGCAAGUCGAGCGGAGAUGAGGUGCUUGCACCUUAUCUUAGCGGCGGACGGGUGAGUAAUGCUUAGGAAUCUGCCUAUUAGUGGGGGACAACAUUCCGAAAGGAAUGCUAAUACCGCAUACGUCCUACGGGAGAAAGCAGGGGAUCUUCGGACCUUGCGCUAAUAGAUGAGCCUAAGUCGGAUUAGCUAGUUGGUGGGGUAAAGGCCUACCAAGGCGACGAUCUGUAGCGGGUCUGAGAGGAUGAUCCGCCACACUGGGACUGAGACACGGCCCAGACUCCUCCGGGAGGCAGCAGUAGGGAAUAUUGGACAAUGGGGGGAACCCUGAUCCAGCCAUGCCGCGUGUGUGAAGAAGGCCUUAUGGUUGUAAAGCACUUUAAGCGAGGAGGAGGCUACUGAGACUAAUACUCUUGGAUAGUGGACGUUACUCGCAGAAUAAGCACCGGCUAACUCUGUGCCAGCCGCCGCCGUAAAAC